GGCGGUGUAGCUCAGUUGGUUCAGAGCAGCGGAAUCAUAAUCCGCGUGUCGGGGGUUCAAGUCCCUCCACCGCCA
rnacentral:tRNA from 1 species